GGGUGAGUAAUGUAUCGGAACGUACCUUUCAGUGGGGGAUAACGUAGCGAAAGUUACGCUAAUACCGCAUAUUCUGUGAGCAGGGAAGCAGGGGAUCGCAAGACCUUGCGCUGAUUGAGCGGCCGAUAUCAGAUUAGCUAGUUGGUGAGGUAAAGGCUCACCAAGGCGACGAUCUGUAGCGGGUCUGAGAGGAUGAUCCGCCACACUGGAACUGAGACACGGUCCAGACUCCUACGGGAGGCAGCAGUGGGGAAUUUUGGACAAUGGGGGCAACCCUGAUCCAGCCAUGCCGCGUGAGUAAAGAAGGCCUUCGGGUUGUAAAGCUCUUUCGGCCGGGAAGAAAUCGCAUGGGUUAAUACCCUGUGCGGAUGACGGUACCGGCAUAAGAAGCACCGGCUAACUACGUGCCAGCAGCCGCGGUAAUACGUAGGGUGCGAGCGUUAAUCGGAAUUACUGGGCGUAAAGCGUGCGCAGGCGGUUUUGUAAGACAGGCGUGAAAUCCCCGGGCUCAACCUGGGAGCUGCGCUUGUGACUGCAAGGCUAGAGUAUGGCAGAGGGGGGUGGAAUUCCACGUGUAGCAGUGAAAUGCGUAGAGAUGUGGAGGAACACCAAUGGCGAAGGCAGCCCCCUGGGCCAAUACUGACGCUCAUGCACGAAAGCGUGGGUAGCAAACAGGAUUAGAUACCCUGGUAGUCCACGCCCUAAACGAUGUCAACUAGGUGUUGGGUGGGUAAAACCAUUUAGUACCGGAGCUAACGCGUGAAGUUGACCGCCUGGGGAGUACGGCCGCAAGGUUAAAACUCAAAGGAAUUGACGGGGACCCGCACAAGCGUGGAUGAUGUGGAUUAAUUCGAUGCAACGCGAAAAACCUUACCUACCCUUGACAUGUCCAGGAGCCUGAAGAGAUUUGGGUGUGCCCGAAAGGGAACUGGAACACAGGUGCUGCAUGGCUGUCGUCAGCUCGUGUCGUGAGAUGUUGGGUUAAGUCCCGCAACGAGCGCAACCCUUGUCGUUAAUUGCCAUCAUUUAGUUGGGCACUUUAACGAGACUGCCGGUGACAAACCGGAGGAAGGUGGGGAUGACGUCAAGUCCUCAUGGCCCUUAUGGGUAGGGCUUCACACGUCAUACAAUGGUCGGUACAAAGGGUUGCCAACCCGCGAGGGGGAGCCAAUCCCAGAAAGCCGAUCGUAGUCCGGAUUGCAGGCUGCAACUCGCCUGCAUGAAGUCGGAAUCGCUAGUAAUCGUGGAUCAGCAUGUCACGGUGAAUACGUUCCCGGGUCUUGUACACACCGCCCGUCACCAUGGGAGCGGGUUCCGCCAGAAGUAGGUAGCCUAACCGCAAGGGGGGCGCUUACCACGGCGGGGUUCGUGACUGGGGUGAAGUCGUAACAAGGUA
rnacentral:rRNA from 1 species